rnacentral:lncRNA from 1 species
GGACACUUUAGUGUGUAGUUGUUAUUUUUGCAGUUCAGUUUUUUUUCAGAAACGGCACGCUUCAGUUUGGUUAUAUGCUCUUCUCAUUAGUAGAAUUUAAUCUGACUCCAAAAAUGCAAGCACCAUGAAAAAUCAUGCUAAACCAUUUUGUCAGUAUAUCAGUUGAAAUCCCUGGUCAUUUCUCCAUGCAGUGUGUCUAAAAUUGCUGUGACUGGUCCACCGGGCCUCUUUAUAUCACAAAUGGAAAUGGGCCAGAAUUUCCAGAGCUCCGUUACGCUGUCCUGGGUCAGAGGUCCGAAUCAGUUCAUCCAUCUGCUGUCUGUUUGUUUCACUGCAAAUACUCCGAGGUAGUCAGGAAUCAGCUUGAAUUCUUCAUAAAGCAAAUUCACAACUGACAGCUCAGUUAAACUCUUCAAUGUUUGUUUCACAGCCUGCAGUCUAACGUCAGGAGCAUAUGGCUUCAACGAAGUAAGACUGUUUUACUCCUUUUCCGUGUUUUCCUCUUAGUAUUGAAAAAAACUGGCUAUGGGAGAUCAAAUGCCAGUAGUCUUUAUUUCAUUUACUCUCUUACAGCGCGAACAGACCCUUUGCCACCCGGAACAGUGUUGAAAUGUAAGGAGCACGAGCUUCAGAUGUCUCUAGUGCUGCCCAUUAUCUUCCUGGAGAAUCUGCAUUUCUCUGCUCUCCAGCUGAAUGAUCCGACCUGCCCAGUGUUUUAUAACUCGACCCAUGUCACCGCCACCUUCCCUCUGACAGGCUGCGGAAUCAAGAUGGUAUGAAGUACUCAGUCCUCAGUAUGAAGGAAUAAAGACUGAGAUGUUUGUCAGAAUGUUGACGCUUCUCUUUUCCAUAUGAUAUCAUAAAAGUGGACAGUAACCAGCGGCUGUUGAGCGCCAAAAUAAAUAAUUAAAUAAACUUCUGCAUU